AUUGAACGCUGGCGGCAUGCUUUACACAUGCAAGUCGAACGGCAGCGCGGGCUUCGGCCUGGCGGCGAGUGGCGAACGGGUGAGUAAUGCAUCGGAACGUGCCCAGUAGUGGGGGAUAGCCCGGCGAAAGCCGGAUUAAUACCGCAUACGACCUGAGGGUGAAAGCGGGGGACCGAAAGGCCUCGCGCUAUUGGAGCGGCCGAUGUCGGAUUAGGUAGUUGGUGGGGUAAAGGCUUACCAAGGCGACGAUCCGUAGCUGGUCUGAGAGGACGACCAGCCACACUGGGACUGAGACACGGCCCAGACUCCUACGGGAGGCAGCAGUGGGGAAUUUUGGACAAUGGGGGCAACCCUGAUCCAGCCAUGCCGCGUGCGGGAAGAAGGCCUUCGGGUUGUAAACCGCUUUUGUUCGGGAAGAAAUCCUCUGGGCUAAUACCCCGGGGGGAUGACGGUACCGGAAGAAUAAGCACCGGCUAACUACGUG
rnacentral:rRNA from 1 species